ACGGUAACAGAGAAGAGCUUGCUCUUUUACUGACGAGUGGCGCACGGGUGCGUAACGCGUAUACAAUCUACCUUUUACAGGGGGAUAGCCUUUAGAAAUGAAGAUUAAUAUCCCAUAGUAAGUACUUAUGGCAUCGUAAGAACUUUAAAGUUUCGGCGGUAAAAGAUGAGUAUGCGUUCUAUUAGCUAGAUGGUGUGGUAACGGCACACCAUGGCAACGAUAGAUAGGGGCCCUGAGAGGGGGAUCCCCCACACUGGUACUGAGACACGGACCAGACUCCUACGGGAGGCAGCAGUGAGGAAUAUUGGACAGUGGGCGAGAGCCUGAUCCAGCCAUGCCGCGUGCAGGAAGACUGCCCUAUGGGUUGUAAACUGCUUUUAUACGGGAAGAAACCCACCUACGUGUAGGUGGCUGACGGUACCGUAAGAAUAAGGAUCGGCUAACUCCGUGCCAGCAGCCGCGGUAAUACGGAGGAUCCAAGCGUUAUCCGGAAUCAUUGGGUUUAAAGGGUCCGUAGGUGGAUAAUUAAGUCAGGGGUGAAAGUCUGCAGCUCAACUGUAGAAUUGCCUUUGAUACUGGUUAUCUUGAAUUAUUAUGAAGUAGUUAGAAUAUGUAGUGUAGCGGUGAAAUGCAUAGAUAUUACAUAGAAUACCAAUUGCGAAGGCAGAUUACUAAUAAUCAAUUGACACUGAUGGACGCGUGAGCGAACAGGAUUAGAUACCCUGGUAGUCCACGCCGUAAACGAUGGAUACUAGCUGUUCGGACUUCGGCCUGAGUGGCUAAGCGAAAGUGAUAAGUAUCCCACCUGGGGAGUACGUUCGCAAGAAUGAAACUCAAAGGAAUUGACGGGGGCCCGCACAAGCGGGGAUGAUGUGGUUUAAUUCGAUGCAACGCAAAACCUUACCCACCUUUGACAUGGAGGAGUUUCCA
rnacentral:rRNA from 1 species